GGGGAUAACAGGCUUAUCUCCCCCAAGAGUCCACAUCGACGGGGAGGUUUGGCACCUCGAUGUCGGCUCAUCACAUCCUGGGGCUGUAGUAGGUCCCAAGGGUUGGGCUGUUCGCCCAUUAAAGUGGUACGCGAGCUGGGUUCAGAACGUCGUGAGACAGUUCGGUCCCUAUCCGUCGCAGGCGUAGGAAAUUUGAGAAGACCUGUCCUUAGUACGAGAGGACCGGGAUGGACGUACCUCUGGUGUACCAGUUGUCCUGCCAAGGGCAUGGCUGGGUAGCUAUGUACGGAAUGGAUAAGCGCUGAAAGCAUCUAAGCGCGAAGCCAACUUCAAGAUAAGAUUUCCCACCGCAAGGGUAAGACCCCAGAAAGACUAUCUGGUUGAUAGGUCGAAGGUGUAAGUGCAGCAAUGUAUUUAGCUUAUCGAUACUAAUAGGUCGAGGACUUGACCAAU
rnacentral:rRNA from 1 species